UUAAUUGAAUCCAAACUUAGGAAAAUUAUUGUUAAUAAUUUUAUUGAAUAAAAUAUUCCAAUUGAA
rnacentral:tRNA from 1 species